UGACCAGCUGCCAGAAUCGUUAAAGCGUAAGUAGGUGAAAUUCCUGGUAGUAUUUCUUCCAGCUCGUUAAAUUCUGGGUUCAAAUCCGGCCGAGGUCAAUUUUGCCUUUAACUUUACCGGGGUCGAUGAAACAAAGAACCAGUUUAAUACUAGCGACAAUGUUAUCGAUUAAUCUGUAGCCCUUGAGCUUAAAUUAAAAACAGUUGUGUUAUUCCCCAGUUUUAUACUAUGUUCAAAAUAAAACCUUAAAUUUCGAGAAAAAUUUCAAUAAUCAGAAGUAAAAUCAGAUUGUAAGGGUAGAUAACUCUAGGUGCUAGAGGUCACGUUUCUACAAGAAAGGAAAUAUGUCGGCAACUAAUUUAUCUGAUGAAACUCAACAACGUAAUGUAAAGGAUUUCUUGUUACUGUAUAACAAACUCACUGAGCAAUGUUUUCAGAAUUGUGUAUCAAUAUUUUUUGAG